AAUGAACGCUGGCGGCGUGCCUAAUACAUGCAAGUCGAGCGAACGGACGAGAAGCUUGCUUCUCUGAUGUUAGCGGCGGACGGGUGAGUAACACGUGGAUAACCUACCUAUAAGACUGGGAUAACUUCGGGAAACCGGAGCUAAUACCGGAUGAUAUUUUGAACCGCAUGGUUCAAAAGUGAAAGACGGUCUUGCUGUCACUUAUAGAUGGAUCCGCGCUGCAUUAGCUAGUUGGUAAGGUAACGGCUUACCAAGGCAACGAUGCAUAGCCGACCUGAGAGGGUGAUCGGCCAGACGGGAACUGAGACAGGGUCCAGACUCCUACGGGAGGCAGCAGUAGGGAAUCUUCCGCAAUGGGCGAAAGCCUGACGGAGCAACGCCGCGUGAGUGAUGAAGGUCUUCGGAUCGUAAAACUCUGUUAUUAGGGAAGAACAUAUGUGUAAGUAACUGUGCACAUCUUGACGGUACCUAAUCAGAAAGCCACGGCUAACUACGUG
rnacentral:rRNA from 1 species